rnacentral:rRNA from 1 species
CAGUCGCCACGGUAAUACGUAGGGGGCAAGCGUUGUCCGGAAUUAUUGGGCGUAAAGCGCGCGCAGGCGGCUUUUUAAGUCUGGUGCCUAAGUGCGGGGCUCAACCCCGUGACGCACUGGAAACUGGGAGACUUGAGUGCAGAAGAGGAGAGCGGAAUUCCACGUGUAGCGGUGAAAUGCGUAGAGAUGUGGAGGAACACCAGUGGCGAAGGCGGCUCUCUGGACUGUAACUGACGCUGAGGAGCGAAAGCGUGGGGAGCGAACAGGAUUAGAUACCCCCGUAGUCCCUGUCUCUUAUACA